rnacentral:pre_miRNA from 1 species
UUGUGGCUCCCGCUCUCUAAUCCUUGCUACCUGGGUGAGAGUGCUUUCUGAAUGCAAUUCACCUAGGCAAGGAUUCUGCGAGGGGGAGCA